rnacentral:rRNA from 1 species
UACGGAGGGGGCUAGCGUUGUUCGGAAUUACUGGGCGUAAAGCGCACGUAGGCGGCUUUGUAAGUUAGAGGUGAAAGCCCGGAGCUCAACUCCGGAAUUGCCUUUAAGACUGCAUCGCUUGAAUCAUGGAGAGGUGAGUGGAAUUCCGAGUGUAGAGGUGAAAUUCGUAGAUAUUCGGAAGAACACCAGCGGCGAAGGCGACUCACUGGACAUGUAUUGACGCUGAGGUGCGAAAGCGUGGGGAGCAAACAGG